rnacentral:rRNA from 1 species
GAUGAACGCUGGCGGCGUGCUUAACACAUGCAAGUCGAACGAUUAAAGCCCCUUCGGGGUGUAUAGAGUGGCGAACGGGUGAGUAACACGUGGGCAAUCUGCCCCUCACACCGGGAUAACUCAGGGAAACUUGAGCUAAUACCGGAUACUCCGGGAUGACCGCAUGGUCGACCCGGGAAAGCUCCGACGGUGAGGGAUGAGCCCGCGGCCCAUUAGCUUGUUGGUAGGGUAAUGGCCUACCAAGGCGACGAUGGGUAGCCGAGCUGAGAGGCUGAUCGGCCACACUGGGACUGAGACACGGCCCAGACACCUACGGGAGGCAG